rnacentral:rRNA from 1 species
GACGAACGCUGGCGGCGUGCUUAACACAUGCAAGUCGAACGGAAAGGCCCUGCUUUUGUGGGGUGCUCGAGUGGCGAACGGGUGAGUAACACGUGAGUAACCUGCCCUUGACUUUGGGAUAACUUCAGGAAACUGGGGCUAAUACCGGAUAGGAGCUCCUGCUGCAUGGUGGGGGUGGGAAAGUUUCGGCGGUUGGGGAUGGACUCGCGGCUUAUCAGCUUGUUGGUGGGGUAGUGGCUUACCAAGGCUUUGACGGGUAGCCGGCCUGAGAGGGUGACCGGCCACAUUGGGACUGAGAUACGGCCCAGACUCCUACGGGAGGCAGCAGUGGGGAAUAUUGCACAAUGGGCGGAAGCCUGAUGCAGCAACGCCGCGUGCGGGAUGACGGCCUUCGGGUUGUAAACCGCUUUCGCCUGGGACGAAGCGUGAGUGACGGUAAUGGGUAAAGAAGCACCGGCUAACUACGUG